AGGUCAGUGACAAAGGUUGGCCAGAGCCUCAGACCUCACAAAGACACAGAGGUUGGUUGGCCACAACUUCCUGGAUCCCCCUCUGGACUAAAGAAGUGGCUGUGGACCAGCAAAGUUAACAGGUGUGUACUAGAUACUAGAGGACCCAACUCACUGACCCCAGGUGAACUGUCUAAGAUGAUAGACUGUCCACUGGUGCCAUAACGUGUCUUCAAGCUGAGAAUAGUGUGACUAGUGUGACACUAUCAAAACAACAUGACGCAGCUUUUCAGUUGGUUGCGUUAUGCUCAUUUCAGUAAAACUAUUCCCCAAUCGUCUUGUGCUAUUGUGACAGAGAGUAUCUAUGUCCGUUGUUCAGAAUACUCUUAUAGUCAUCUAUAAUAAUCUCAAUCAGAUGCAAUGAAGUUCGCCACCACCAAACCUGUUCCACAAAAAAACAGCCAGUGCAUCGAGAAGGCGUUUAUAAACAGUAGUCACUCUCCUCUCUGCCUGGGACUUCAACUCAACCACGGUCCCAGUGCCACAAUAUCACGGGUCACGAAGGAGCAAGCUCCCUCGCCAAACAUUUGGGUUCUACUUCCAAACUGUACCUGUUUGCAUUGAAUACCAGCAAGACAGCUGAUUAUGUAAUUAUGGCUUCCCUGCUUUUGUUUUAUUGCUCACACUGUGAUUUGGCUGUGAACAUCUUGUGCUGCCACUGGCAGACGCAGAGGGUGGAAAUAUUAGACGCCAUGUUGAAUUAGGUUUGCAGGUGACUGACUCCCUAGCAGGACUCUAAAUUAAAACAUGUAAUGCGUAGCACUGGAGCUCCCAACUUUAAAGUUAGGAGCACAACAUAAAAUGUAGGAGCACCAGAAAAAAUAUUUUUGUUAUAUUGAUUGAGAUAUAGCCUAUGAGUUCUAGCUACUUACGAAGCAUGUUGUGCCCUAGAUUAUUUGAUUAUUAUAAAAAGCAAAAAAUGCUUUUGUCCUCUG